rnacentral:rRNA from 1 species
UGAUUUUAAACAGCCGCGGUAAUUUGACCGUGCAAAGGUAGCAUAAUCAUUUGCCUUAUAAUUGGGGGCUGGAAUGAAAGAAUAAACAAGAGUUAAGCUUUAUCUUUUGGAGAAUCAGAAAUUUCUUUCUUAGUGAAGAAGCUAAGAUAAAAAAGGGGACAAGAAGACCCUUUUGAGCUUUAUUAUUUUUCUUUUUAUGAAAAAUUAAUUUGGUUGGGGCGACCAGGGAAUAUCUUCCCUAUUUAUUAUGAUCCACGGUUUGUGAUUAAAAGAAUAAGUUACCAAAGGGAUAACAGCGUAAUUUUUUUUGAGAGUUCUUAUUAAAAAAAAAGAUUGCGACCUCGAUGU